rnacentral:pre_miRNA from 1 species
GAAGUACUCCCUCCGUCCCAAAAUUCUUGUCUUAGAUUUGUUUAGAUAUGAAUAUAUCUAGUUACAUUAUGAUAUUUAGAUACAUCCAUUUCUAGACAAACCUAAGACAAGAAUUUUGGGACGGAGGGGGUACUUG